UCAUCAUGAAGAUAUGGAGUACGCUCCUGCAGUAAAUGUUUGAACUGCCAUACACAUAAUUGUUAUUUUUGCAAUGUGUGUUGUUAAUUGAUUGUGUGUUUUAAUGUUUCCUACCUUCAUUUGAAGUUGGUGAUGUCCAUAUAUGUGGGUGCUGAAGCCCUCCCACACCAACCGGCGGAAGCCCUCCCACCCCAACCGGCUCCUCAUCCUCCAAGGCAACGGAGGCAUGCAAGGCCACCAAUUUUCCUUACCCGUGUCACCCUUUUUGGGAUGCCUGAUGAUGUGGUAUUGCGCAGAUAUAGGCUGCCAACUCAUCUAAUCCUUGCCACUAUCUCCAUAAUAGAGUGAUCUAGAACAAUCCAUUACAUAUCCUACAGCAAUACCAGCAUUGACACAAUUCCUUGCUGUGUUAAAUUUUUUGGCCACUGGUUCAUACCAGCAUGUAGUUGGUGAUCUGGUUGGCAUGUCGCAGGGCCAGUUCAGUAAGGUCCUGCGGCAUGUCAGCCAAGCAUUCACAACCAGAGUGAAGUAAUUCAUAACAAUGCCUUCGGAUGCUGGUGCCCUGGCUGUGGUGAAGCGGCAAUUUCAGGAAGGGGGUAGUCGCUUCCCACACGUUAUUGGGGUUGUGGAUGGGACACAUGUUGCCAUUGUUGCACCAAAACACAAUGAAGAAAUCUAUAGAAACAGGAAACUGUUUCAUUCUCUGAAUGUCAUGGUUGUUUGUGGCCCUCCAGAUCCUGUCCCUGAAUGCUAAGUUCCCCGGUAAUUCCCAUGCACAUGUGAUUCACCAAUCAGGGAUAUGGCAAAGAUUAAGAAUGAUGGAAGGCCAAGACAUGUGGCUAUUGGGAGAUCGUGGAUAUCCUUGCACCCCCUGGCUCAUGACUCCUUACAGCAAACCCAGGCCAGGACCACAGUUGGCAUUUAACUCCGUGCUUACUGCCACUAGACAGCUGGUGGAGCGCACGAUUGGGGUUCUUAAAGGGCGUUUUCGUGUGCUCCACCGCACUGGUGGUGACAUCAUGUAUUCGCCGGAGAUGGUUAGUAUAAUUGUGGUCCUGUGCGCUAUACUUCAUAACAUCGCUGUAAGGAGUCGCGUAGAGCUUCCCCACUCAAAGGAGUUGCCGGAUGAGGAGCCAGGGGUUGGACGGGCCUUCCGUGGCGGGAGUCUGAACCAGCGGGGUCAUGCCGUAAGGGCUCAAAUUGUUCGGGAGUAUUUCAGGUAUGUUUAAGUUAUGAUAGUAAUAUCCUUUUUUUUUAAUUAUUUUUUGCAAUCUGUCUGUACGUGUUGGUUUUUUUUGACUGAUGGCAUUUUGCUUGCUUUGUAAAGUUCUGAGUGUGUUGCUAGUGUAUUCUGAGUACUUGAUAAAGUGUCUGAGUACAGAUUUUUUUCUGUACUGUUCUUCUUAUCAUGUGUAUAUAUUUUUAAUUUUUUUCUACAAUGGUAUUACUGUUCCAUUCUGUUUGAUUAUAUGCAGUUGUGUGCGUGUUAAUUUGGUAUUAUUCAAUGUGGUUUUUUAUGUGAAAUUGUGUUCUAAAACAAAAAUAACAGCACCCUUUAAUUUUUUUUGUUUUUUUUUGUUUUGUGGCUCUGUUUACCAAACAAAUGCUACAAAAAAUGCUGUGACUUUGUGUAGCUGAUUGGUCCUGCAUAAUGUGAUGUUGCAAUUGGAGAUCCCACAACUUUGCCUGGAAUUGUGGCCAGCCUCAAAUCCAAUUUGAGGGCCGUGCUGGCUGAUCUGGAAAAAUUAGAAUCCUUUUUCUAAAAAAAAAUAAAAAAUUGUUUGUUCCAAAAAUAAUAAUUCCCCCCCCCC